GUAGUCUGUUCCCUUGGUUUGUGUUGUGAAGGCUGGCUAGCUCGGGCCGCUGAUUGCCGACCUUCAAACUCAAGCCACAGUUUGACAAGGUCAGCCUGGAAUCAAUCGGUGCAAGUGUAAUCACAAGUCAGCGCUUGUGAUGAAGACCUCUGUGAUGAAGGUUCUGCCCUCUCGUGGAUGGCUGACGCUGGAGAGCGCUGAGAGUACCGGGCUCAUUCUGCGUCGUGCGCUGUGACAGACAGAGUGACUCAGCGCUUUAUGGAAAUGCCUUUUUCGGGAGCGGAAGUGUUUGUUCUCUCUCGGUCAUUCCUGGGGGGGGCAGUGAAACACGCAACGUUUAGGCAGUGUGGGAAUUCGGCAUGUGGAACCCGCAGCCAAUGCCGCCCCCCCGCACGUGGAAUCUGUGCACUUUAACCCCCCCC